AGAUGUCCAACACAAAUGCUGAUAAUAAUCUUUUAUUUUAUAGCUCUCUCCUCUGUUCUUCCCUCCUGUCCUCCAAUCUGGCCGUCGUUAAACGCGUUAACGCGUCGCCUUGUCUCGUCUUUGUGGGUUACCACUACAUAUAACCCUCCCUUUCUGUCUUCAUAUUGGCAGGUGCUGAAAAUAUUAUCGCCCAUUAUUUCCUCUGCAUCUGUACUCUCUUUUACCUAAUCCAAACAAGAAAAAUUUUACUGGUUUAGAAACGAGAAGCAACGUAUCAGAAUCAAGAACAUGUCCUUAUUGGAGGAGGAGCUAUUCCCGUCGACUCCUGGCAAGUUCAAGAUCGACCGUGGACACACCAUGAGUCGUCAUUUCCAUCGUUGUUUUGCCUCUACAAGCACCAUGUUCUUGUGGGCUCUUUUCUUGAUUGCUUUGACCGCUUCCUACUUGAGUUUCCAGAGCUUUAUCGAUUCCGGUAGCAAGUACUUCUCCGCUUCUUGGGGCGGUAUACAGUGGGAGAAACAAGUCCGGAAUUCUGCCCAGAUCCAACGCUCCGGCGGCAUGUCUGUUCUCGUCACCGGAGCCGCUGGAUUCGUUGGUACCCACGUGUCUUUAGCGCUCAAGAAACGCGGAGAUGGCGUCAUUGGACUCGAUAAUUUUAACAACUAUUAUGAUCCGUCGUUGAAGAGAGCCCGCAAAUCUCUCCUUAACAAACGCGGCAUCUAUAUCGUCGAAGGUGAUGUAAAUGACGCGCGGCUCUUAACCAAGUUGUUUGAUGUGGUGGCUUUCACUCAUGUGAUGCACUUGGCGGCUCAAGCCGGAGUCAGAUACGCCAUGAAGAAUCCUCACUCGUAUGUUCAUUCCAAUAUAGCCGGAUUGGUCACGCUUCUUGAGGUUUGCAAAUCGGCUAAUCCUCAGCCGGCUAUUGUUUGGGCUUCGUCAAGCUCCGUUUACGGCUUGAACGAAAAGGUUCCUUUCUCUGAAUCUGAUCGGACGGACCAACCGGCGAGUCUCUACGCGGCUACGAAAAAGGCAGGUGAAGAAAUCACCCACACUUACAACCACAUUUACGGUCUCUCAAUUACUGGGUUAAGAUUUUUCACCGUGUAUGGUCCUUGGGGACGACCCGACAUGGCUUAUUUCUCGUUCACGAGAAAUAUUUUACAGGGGAAACCCAUCACGAUAUAUCGGGGCAAAAACGGGGUGGACUUGGCCCGAGAUUUCACCUUCAUUGAUGACAUAGUAAAAGGUUGCGUGGGUUCUUUGGAUACUGCGGGAAAGAGUACCGGGUCUGGCGGCAAGAAGCGGGGACCCGCACAAUAUCGGAUCUUCAAUCUCGGGAAUACGUCACCGGUUACGGUACCGACACUGGUAAGUAUAUUGGAGAAGCACUUGAAGAUGAAAGCGAAGAGGAAUAUCGUGGAUAUGCCAGGAAACGGCGACGUACCAUUCACUCAUGCGAAUAUUAGCUUGCCCCGAAGAGAACUCGGGUACAAACCCACAACCGAUUUGCAAACUGGAUUGAAGAAGUUCGUUAAGUGGUAUCUCGCGUAUUACGGCUACAAUCGCGGAAAAGUUGUAAAUUAACUUUUUUUUUUUUUCCUUUUGGGUUUUUGAAUCUUUGUAAUGACCCUUGUGAUUGAGGAUUUUGUUGAUACCUAUUGAAAUUUCAAUUUUUGAGAAGUUGUUCAUGUUAUAUUGCGAUUUAUCAUAAUUUUUACUGAUUGUUUGAGUUGUUAAUGGGUUGUUCGUUGUUGAGUUCAUGGGUUCAUUCUUAUCUGGGACUAGUUCAUCAACAUUUGUUGAAGAUGAACGUAGCAUCUGGUGUUUGCCCAAAACCAACUGUUCUGAAUUGUUCGAUUCGAUUUUCUCUUAGUUUGGCUCAGUUUUGGUA
rnacentral:misc_RNA from 1 species